rnacentral:rRNA from 1 species
UACAUGGGGUGCAAACGUUGCUCGGAAUCAUUGGGCGUAAAGCGCACGUAGGCGGUUCGUUAUGUCGGUUGUGAAAGCCCUCGGCUUAACCGGGGAAGUGCAUCCGAAACUGGCGAGCUUGAGUACUAAAGAGGGUCGCGGAAUUCCCGGUGUAGAGGUGAAAUUCGUAGAUAUCGGGAGGAACACCGGUGGCGAAGGCGGGUCUCUGGGCCGAAACUGACGCUGAGGAGCGAAAGCGUGGGGAGCAAACAGG